rnacentral:rRNA from 1 species
GAGUAAUGUCUGGGAAACUGCCUGAUGGAGGGGGGAGUAACUACUGGAAACGGUAGCUAAUACCGCUUAACGUCGCAAGACCAAAGAGGGGGACCUUCGGCCUCUUGCCAUCGGAUGUGCCCAGAUGGGAUUAGCUAGUAGGUGGGGUAACGGCUCACCUAGGCGACGAUCCCUAGCUGGUCUGAGAGGAUGACCAGCCACACUGGAACUGAGACACGGCCCAGACUCCUACGGGAGGCAGCAUG